AUUCCAGCUCCAAUAGCGUAUAUUAAAGUUGUUGCGGUUAAAGAGCUCGUAGUUGGAUCUCGGCGGGCAGGGGGUGGUUCGCUCUUCAGCGCUACUGCCCCGCUUUGCCCGUGUGAUUGGCGGAGGUUUCGGGGUGCUCUUCGUUGAGUGACUCGGAGCGCCGUCAGGUUUACUUUGAAAAAAUUAGAGUGCUCAAAGCAGGCUUUUCACGCUUGAAUAUUCGUGCAUGGAAUAAUGGAAUAGGAACUCGUUUCUAUUUUGUUGGUUUUCGGAAAUCGAGUUAAUGAUUAACAGGGACAAUUGGGGGCAUUAGUAUUCAGACGACAGAGGUGAAAUUCUUGGACCGUCUGAAGACUGACUACUGCGAAAGCAUUUGCCAAGAGUGUUUUCAUUA
rnacentral:rRNA from 1 species